UUUUUUUUAGUUUUUAGUUUAUUUUUCUUAGUACGGUUUUAUGUUUUUAUCCUUGUUGUUUAGUUUGCAGGAGUUCAUGACCAGAGGCUCUAACACCCCUUUGGUAAUACCGCUUGAAGAUCCCGAGUCUGCAAUUUACAAGAAGAAGACGCCCUUACAAGAAUUCAAAUCAGUGUUCUCAAAGAAAUCGGGGAAGAAAACAGGGGAGUCACUACUAGAAAAAUACCCUUUAAUGACGCGCAAACCAUGACACGCGCUGUUUUAGGAUACACAAAAGUGUGUACCCUAAAAAUAAUAUCAAUUCUUCCAAAAUGUGAAAGAUUUAGGAUGCGUAAUUUUGCGUGCCCCUAAAAUUUGUGUCAAAAAAGGCGGAGGGCACCUAUCUUAAAAGGCGUAUCGUGAAAUCAUGUCACUUUAUAUUUUUUUGUAAUGAAACGCGCAUCUUCAUCAGCGGGAGAAGGAAUUCCCAAAAUAAUUAGAAAAGUUGAAAACCCCGCCAUGGCGAUUUAGGGUUUCCGUCUUCAUCACUUGUUCACUUCUAUCUUAACUUUCUCUUCCAUCUACAAUCUCUUUCUGGCGAUGAAGGUUUCUCAUGAUUUUUUGAUGUACUUACAAACCCUAGGUCCUGAUGCGUGAUGCGUGCGUAUGUUGCACCUGAUGCGUUCUUUGGAUUUUUUACAAGCAAUCGUGAUAUUGAAUACAUGUCCCCUCUCCCACCGAUCAAGCUUCGGAAUGAUUGUUAUCCCUCUGCCUUCCCCUGCGAAUACGCUCCCAUCUCCCAUAAUGUCAAACUCCUGAAACGGCCUCUUUCUGCUAAUCCUACCGACAGUCCGACACCAUUAAAUUGGAUCCCUAGAUGCUCUAGUCAUCGACUUCUGAGGGUAUAAACAUGUCAGAUUCUGACAUAGAGAAGGCAAAAAGGGUUGUUUUUUUAUCCAAUUUUAAUUUGCCAAGUGAUGUUAUAAUCCUUGAUCGCAUAGUCUAUUAUGCUCAUGGUGGUGAUGUUGCUGUUGCGUUUCUAAGAGUAUUUUCUUCUACAAGUUGUUGCUCUGUUUGGCAUGAUACAACCAAGGAUUGUACUAUGUUGAAGAUUAUUCGUGUUCUUCCCCCUGCUGUUCCUAGCAGUCAAGUGAAAGCAAACUCCUCAACAUGGGAACGCGCAAUUGCAGAAAGAUUUUGAUGGAGUCUUAUGGUUGGAGUUGGUUCGUGGCAUGGUGUUGGUUGUACACAAAGUGCUACUGAGGAUGGAAUUGUUUCACUGAACAAUGUGAUUGCGGUUCUGCAUGCGGAUUUUGCAUUCUCUUCCUUCCACUCAGCACAGACAACAAUAUGGGCCUGGAUUAGACAUGAUAAAAUGCAGGAUAUUAGAAGGAACAAAUGCUCAAGAGGUGAGAGCAAUGGUGAUGGAUAUGCAAGUGCGAUUAUUACUUGAUAUGUUGGGGAAAGGAAUAGAAUCGGCUCUGGUUAAUAGAGAAAACAAUUAUAACGUGAAACUGCUUUUGUGACAUGUUGGCAACAUCAUAAGGUUGAUGCUGAUGAUGAUGUAAUUUUAAUGAUGCAAAGGCAUAUUGGCUCAGACUACCAGCAUCCGAAGGGGCAUGAGCUUGUAAUGGAUGUGCUAUACCACCUCCAUGCUGUCAGGGUGUCAGAUUCAGCCUAAGAUUCUUCAGGGGUCGUUGUAUAUGAGAAGUUCCUUCUGGAAGUGGCUGUCAGCAACCGAAUUUGCCCAAGAGAGAAGAACCUGUUAUUUACAUUAAUGGAAAGCCCUUUGUGCUUUGUGAGGUUGAAGGACCCUACAAAAACAUGCUCGAGUAUACGGGAAUUGACUGUGAUAGAGUGGAGAUAAUGGAAGCUCGAUUGAAAGAAGAUAUUCUCAAAGAAUCUAAACGUUAUGGAGGUGAUAUUAUGGUCAUUCAUGAAACUGAAGAUGGAAAGAUAUUUGAUGCUUGGGAUCAUGUAAGGUGUGAUGUGGUUCAGAACUUUAGAGGCAGAUGGGGUGGAAUGUCGAGAAGCUUUAGAUGCGGUGAUUAAUAGAUGUUAAGAAUUGCAAAACAUACAACAUAAGAUUGAGACCCGGACGCUUCUUUAGUGCUCCUGUAGGUAAGGCUGUAAAUAUUUUAUUUUCAUAAAAUAUUAAUUUUUCUCAACACUACAGUUGUGUGUAUGUAAAUUGUAAUUAAUGUCUGUAUAUGAAAGGAUAUUUUAGUCAUUUACUAAGAAAAGGGUAUGUUAUGCUUUGUUGUAAAACAAACAACUGAGGCACUGGCGGAACAGGUUACACAGGAGCAUUUUGACAAUGGACUGAUAUACCCUAUGUUCACUAACAUCCGUAAGAUUUCCACUCAUAUUGCUGCCAGGGUGGCAGCCAAAGCAUAUGAACUUGUUCCUAAAUCGUACAUAUGGCCUGUGGACAAUGACUUCUAUUUACAACCAUCUACCUCAUUGAUCUUGGAUGCCGACAAAGAGGGUUUACAAGUAUUUGGUUCAGAUUUCAUGAAUGAUGUGCUACUUGCAUAUAAUUACAGUUAUGACCCUGUAGAAGCGUAUCUGUAUUUUGUGGAUAAUGGCAGAUUCUCUAUGGAUGGUGUGCUUUCCGAUAAUCCAGUGACUCCAUCAGUAGGUUUUAGUUGUUUUUCUCAUAUUGGGAAAAAACAUUCUCAGCCAGGAAAAGGAAAGCCUUUAAUUAUCUCAUUUGAAGGAGCAAUUGGGGAGUUUCCAGGGUGUAGUGAUUUAGCAUACAGAAAAGCUGUUUUAGAUGGAGCAGAUAUAAUCAAUUGUCCUGUUCAGAUGACCAAUGAUGGAGUAGCUUUUUGGCAACCUUUCAUCCAGUGUUCCUGAGCUUCAAUCUGGAAAUGGAAUAUAUACAUUCAGCCUCACAUGGAGCCAGAUUAAGAGCUUAAGACUUGAUCUGUUGUGAACCAAGAGUUGUUGUGGAAAGAGAAGUGCUUUAGAAUACUUGUCACUUUUAACUAGAAACUCAUCCCUUGCACCACUUCCUAAAUGCAACAUUCUAUAUUUUCCAUUAAAUUCUUUGCAAGAACAAUUCACCCGAUCAGUUCUCCUCUGUUGACCAUGGAGUAAGCAAGUUGUCUCUUCUGUCAAAGGUGUUUGCAGUGACUGUGAGAUUCAUUCAUAAGGAUCCAGAGGAGAAGAAAUCAUCAUUCAACCUGAGACCGUAUUUCAGGUUAUUCAUUGAUUGGCUGCUUGACCUUAGUACCCUUGAUCCGGUUUUUGAAGGUGCAAACUUUCAGGUUCGUCAGCUCUAGCAACCUCCUUCCAUGCUCUGCUGCCUCUCAAAGUUCCUGUAUGCAUUCAGGUUAUUCUCUCAGAAAGGAAAUUUUCAAAGGAGAUGUCAAAUGAGAAUUUAGUCAUGGGUUUCUUUAAAUGUUAUACAUGUUUUGUUUUCUAUAAUAAAUAUUAUGCAACAUUAGCAAUGUGUUACAUUUACUUACUAUUGGAAUGCUUAUUUGUAUUUGACAUAUUAAUUCAAUGAAUUAUCUUUAUUA